CGGCGAAGUUGUACACGCCGGGAUCUGUGCGUUAUACGGAUGCACUGACCCGGAAAACUCAGGAAAUUUGGGUCGGGGCCAACAGAAAUAUCCCCGACGAAGCAAAAAAUGAGGAGCAGAGACAGGGCAGCGUUAACUCCACAUCGGUAGUGCAGAAAAACACACUAGUGGAAAAGCCGAAAGAUGGACAGAAAAGAAAUCUCCCAGCAGAGAAAAUAAAAAUUGAAGGCGGAAGAAAACAUGACAGUGUAACCAAUACGUCGGCAGGGCAAAAUGCAACAG